UUAAACUUCUGCUUUGUGCUGUGAGGGAGCCUGGACUAUGUGGAAUGUCUAAAUGAAGACCAACAUGCACUACAGAGGCUAGACCAGUACUUGUGGGUAGGAGUAAUCUGUUCAUUUACUUUGAGACCACUUUCAAAUGUACAAAGAAAUGCAUUUGAGAUAUGUUUGCUUGAGCCUAGACGUUCCUCUCUGUCUCAGAAGGCCUUUACCCCAACUAUCUCUCUCCAAGUUCGGAUCAUGUUGAGGUUUUUGGCAUUGGUGACCUUUUCAUUGUGAAACUGGUGAUUUGUGUGGUGCCAGUGAAGCAACUGUGUGUACAAUAGUUCAAAGUCUGCGGGGGCCAUUUUGUGAACUGAGGAGUCUUUACAUCCAGGUCUUUACAACCUGUUCACAUUACAGCCUUACUGUGUACUGGCUCUUCCAACCUGUUCACAUUACACCCUCACUGUGUACUGGCUCUUCCAACCUGUUCACAUUACACCCUCACUGUGUACUGGCUCUUCCAACCUGUUCACAUUACACCCUCACUGUGUACUGGCUCUUCCAACCUGUUCACAUUACACCCUCACUGUGUACUGGCUCUUCCAACCUGUUCACAUUACACCCUCACUGUGUACUGGCUCUUCCAACCUGUUCACAUUACACCCUCACUGUGUACUGGCUCUUCCAACCUGUUCACAUUACACCCUCACUGUGUACUGGCUCUUCCAACCUGUUCACAUUACACCCUCACUGUGUACUGGCUCUUCCAACCUGUUCACAUUACACCCUCACUGUGUACUGGCUCUUCCAACCUGUUCACAUUCCACCCUCACUGUGUACCGGCUCUUCCAACCUGUUCACAUUACAGCCUCACUGUGUACCGGCUCUUCCAACCUGUUCACAUUACACCCUCACUGUGUACUGGCUCUUCCAACCUGUUCACAUUACACCCUCACUGUGUACUGGCUCUUCCAACCUGUUCACAUUACACCCUCACUGUGUACUGGCUCUUCCAACCUGUUCACAUUACACCCUCACUGUGUACUGGCUCUUCCAACCUGUUCACAUUACACCCUCACUGUGUACUGGCUCUUCCAACCUGUUCACAUUACACCCUCACUGUGUACUGGCUCUUCCAACCUGUUCACAUUACACCCUCACUGUGUACUGGCUCUUCCAACCUGUUCACAUUACACCCUCACUGUGUACUGGCUCUUCCAACCUGUUCACCUUCCACCCUCACUGUGUACUGGCUCUUCCAACCUGUUCACCUUCCACCCUCACUGUGUACUGGCUCUUCCAACCUGUUCACAUUACAGCCUCACUGUGUACUGGCUCUUCCAACCUGUUCACAUUACAGCCUCACUGUGUACUGGCUCUUCCAACCUGUUCACAUUACAGCCUCACUGUGUACUGGCUCUUCCAACCUGUUCACAUUACAGCCUCACUGUGUACUGGCUCUUCCAACCUGUUCACAUUACACCCUCACUGUG
rnacentral:lncRNA from 1 species